rnacentral:lncRNA from 1 species
GGUUCCUCAUGGAUCACUCCCUUCUCUCCACUACAGCAUUGUCACUAGCAUCGCUGUUGGGAACAUAUACCUUCCAACUGUUGGGUUCCUAGGGUCCCAACUACCUUCUCAAUUUUUUCUUUUCCAGUGUGAGUUGGGUGUUCCAGAUAAAGAAAGUAACAGGGCAGAGCCCACAGACCCACAAGAACAUGGAGUUCAGGGAAUGACCUGGAAGUCAGGGAUCUUGAAGACAUUCCCUGGGGAGAAGGCCCCCAAAGUGACUCUAAACCAACUUCCCCAGAGCCAAAGCCUUUAUUGUGCUUUUGCCUUAUGGAUCUGGUUGUCUAUUAAAAUAUGGACAUAUUUCUCAGGCUUUUGCUAGGAAUCUCUAUCCUGGAACUGUUGUGACAUAUCUGUCUACUAAGCUAAGUGGCUUCAUGACUCAUAGCUCUGCUUCAUGGAGAGACUGGAAGGCUACCCAGCUUGAGACACCAUCUUCCGCUUUCUCCCAGGAAAGUUAAGUGUGAGCGUCCCACCUUCCCACUACAAGCCUAACACUCUGUUACAAAGGUUUGUCUCCUAGGCCGUCGUAGAGCCCGACAGGUUGAUAGUUCAUAGUGACCAUCACAAUGCAUCUAGGAAAGUCCGGGAAUAGAGAAGCCUGUCCUGACAUCUUGCCUACCAUGAAGUCACGAAAUCCAAUGAAAGGACUAAAAGGAUUCAGAGUGGCUGAAAGGGGAUUGCCAACCUCAAAGAGGGUAGUCUAGCUGUUUAAAACAGAGCAGAGGGCUCUGGGAAAGGAAAUGUUGUUGGAGAGAUAAGUAAAAAGCCACAGCUCAGAGAUGC